GAACGAACGCUGGCGGCAUGCCUACCACAUGCAAGUCGAACGAGACCUUCGGGUCUAGUGGCGCACGGGUGCGUAACGCGUGGGAACCUGCCCUUAGGUUCGGAAUAACUCCCCGAAAGGGGUGCCAAUACCGGAUAAUGUCUUCGGACCAAAGAUUUAUCGCCUUUGGAUGGGCCCGCGUUGGAUUAGCUAGUUGGUAGGGUAAAAGCCUACCAAGGCGACGAUCCAUAGCUGGUCUGAGAGGAUGAUCAGCCACACUGGGACUGAGACACGGCCCAGACUCCUACGGGAGGCAGCAGUGGGGAAUAUUGGACAAUGGGCGAAAGCCUGAUCCAGCAAUGCCGCGUGAGUGAUGAAGGCCUUAGGGUUGUAAAGCUCUUUUACCCGGGAUGAUAAUGACAGUACCGGGAGAAUAAGCUCCGGCUAACUCCGUG
rnacentral:rRNA from 1 species